rnacentral:lncRNA from 1 species
UCUAAUGCGACACGGAAAAAGUAACUUAUCAGUGGAGAUGGAAAAGGUGCAUGGUGGGAUCAUCAUUCAGCUGGACGUGUGUCUGGUCUCUCCUUUGACCACAUCCUGUGGUCAGACUGGGAGGAAUGAAGUCCAGAUGGGAACAAGUCGGAUUCUUUUCAAUUAUAAAGUUCACCAGAUGUGAAAGUGAAGCUGCUGUGACCAGUUUAGUAUUUUACAGAAAAACGUGAAACCACAGGAUCAGCACCAGCACCGGCACCAGCACCAGCAUCAGCACCGGCAUCGUCACCGUCAUCAGCACCAGCACCAGCAUCAGCACCAGCACCGGCACCAGCACCAGCACCGGCAUCGGCACCAGCACCGGCACCAGCACCAGCAUCAGCACCAGCACCGGCACCAGCACCAGCACCGGCAUCGGCACCAGCACGGCCUGGUGUCCGGCCUGCAGGGCUCUGGUCGAGGCUCAGCAUGAAUGAGUGUUCUUCUGACACGCAGCCACAGGAAACAGAGAUGUCUGCAGAAAAUCCAGCUGCAGCCACGAAAGCCUAAAAAAGGCCACACGUCCAGGAGAGUCCAAGAAACGAGACACUGGGAGGUUCUGCACCCCAUUGUUUUCCAUAGUGAUGCGUUUAAUGCCCUGCACAGAGCGUGGGCACCGGCAGCGCAGCGUCACUGAACGAGGAUCUGCAGGAACUGCAUGUUUGACAGGAUGCGGAGGAUGCGGCUUCCUGCCCGUGCCCCCUCGCCCUCACUGCACCUCGUUAAACAGCAGACGCGCUGCUUCCUGGAGGUCACGUGCAGACUUUAAUAUAAGAUGACAGAAUCAGCGGCUCCUCCUGCUGCACAGGUGGAGCUGGGAAUUGAACGGGUGACCCCCUCAGACCUGGCAACACAGAGGUGUGUGGCUCUGCAGCCGAAAUGAGGCCCCUCGGCCUGUAGGUGGCACAUGAACACACUAGUUCAGGCCAGGCACGAGCCCCCUCUCCUCGCUCGCUCUCGUGAGUGCGCGCGCGCCGACCGCUGCCGUUACAUAACGUGCUCUGCCGCUGCGCCGCCGCUGUGAUCCGCCCAUCACAUCAGCUGCUACAGACAAACCCUGUGAACUUGCAGAGGUUUUCAAAUUCGGUGCAGGACGUUUUGUUCUUUCUCAGAUUAUGCUGCCAUUUUCCAGUUUAUUAAGAAAAGUUCUGUCCUCAGGCAGAAAAUGUCACACUAAUAUUAUACUGUGGUCUGUGUAACAAGGCUGCGACUGUGCGUUUUACGGAAUAAAAGACUAAAUAAUACGGAAUAAAAAAUGAAU